UCUCCUUUGAAGGAUCAUGCCGUCCUCCAUUAAUAAUAUUUCCCGUGCGCAUUUAUUUCGCAUUACGAUUCCAACCUCUCUCUAGUUAAGUGAAAAAUAGCUUAUAGCUAAAUUUACACGACAGAAAUAUUGCAUUGCAUGGAAAAUAAUGUUACUAAGUGCUUCGAACCGUCAAAUAAGGACACGAUGUGUCUCUUCUUUGAAAAAUUGGAGCAGAAAUGUGGAGAAAAUUCUACACUUUAUACGAAAAUGCACAAUUUCUAAUUACAUAAUUGUGUCAUCUCUUCAUACCGACCUAAAUUCCAGGACCUGAGACGAACAAAAAUUCAAUGUAAAACUUCGCAACGAUUUUAGUCCCAUGAGGUAAACCUUCACACGUACUCCUUAGCCAUCUUUUACAAUGGGAAUUUGUACCUGAUCUGUAACCAGUAGACUGCAAAAUGUGAAUGUGCCAAACUCACCACACGUCAUAACUAAUCUACACCAUUAUCAAAUAUCUGUUGCAACAAGUAAUCUAUUAUUUUCUCUUUAAACUAUGCAGGUUAUUAUUGCCAGCGUGCAAAUAUUUGCGAACAUAAGUAUUUAUUUAUGUAUGUCAUGUAUGUGUAUGAUAUUUAUUUCUUUGUCUUAAAUAGCACCUAACAACUAUGUAACUCAACUACUCCAAAUUUUAAUUGUGACAAUAUUUCUAAGAUAUCGCCAGUUUUCUUUAUACGAUAUACCGUAAAACCUCUAUUUAUAGCCCUAUUCUAACUCUAGCCGGUCUCCAAAUAUAUCCGGGUCGGGAGACCAAGAUUUCAAAAUUAUAGCCGAGUCUCAAAUUAUGGCCUGUAUUGUUCGCUGUGUCUCCGUCCAUAGCCCAUUCAAGAAAAAUACUGCCCAUUAUGCUAAUCAACGAAUACGUUGAACUGGCUUGUCACAUAUUUUUCUCCCUUCGACAAAAGUAGUGCAUGCAUAAGUUUGAAGGAUAUUAGAUGGUCUAACUGUCCAGAUUGAUAGUUUAAGGCACUUUUCACAAGCGUUUAAUGUCUUGAGGAAGGGAUGAGAACUGAGGAGAGCCCUUACUCGUUCUAUAUGUAUGUAUGUAAGGGCCUCGAUAAUUUUAAAAUGAACUAUUUAGAACAAAUGUUAAUUGCACGCGGAAUGUUUUGUUUUAAUUAUCAGUGUCAGAGUGUGAAUCAUGCAUUAUGCUUGGGAAAGCGCAAGGCGAAAAAUGCUUGGAGAAGUUCGUGGAAUUGUAUUUCAUGUAAUUGUGUUGUUGUCCAUCUUGGAGGAAAACGCUACCAGCUCAAAAAGAAGUUGUGAAUGUUGAAUGAUUCUGAUUGUGAGGACUGGAACGGUUUGGGCGAAAGUAAGAAACAUGAUUUAUUUUAUUAGAAAGGAGAAACGAACAAACGAACAAACAAACGAACAAAACAAGACUUUGAGCUUCUCUUCAAAGUGCAGUUUCUCCAGGGAAGCUGCACUUUUCCCAAAGGCAGUCCUCCUUUCCAUCCCAGAACUCUCUUUUCUACAAAUCAAGGCGAAAAUUGUAUUUCGCACUUCUUUACUACAUACAUAUAGAAAAAGCAGAAACCCCAAAAUAAGGUGAUUGCAUACCUACCGUCCAUUUAGUGACUAGUUCAAUAUGAUAACCCCUACAAGUGAAACCGUAAUCUGGCGAGGAUAGACUUCAAUGCAACAAUAGUUUUUUAAAUGGGUGUGAUAUUUUAAUGUUCACUUAUUUUCAUAUACUUUAUUUUGGAAAGCUGGAAAAGUUAUACUGUCUGACGUUAUGACGGGAAGACUUUAUUUCACAACGAAAGUCUGGUGGUUACAAAACUGGGCUCUCAUAGUGAUAGUGAGAAUGAAAAAUAGAGGGAGUUGCAGUAAUUUUCACAACCUCAGCAUAUUUUUAGAGAACUUAUGUAUGAGAGCCAGAACUUUCUGAAUAGGCACGAACCUCGAUAAUUGUUAGACUUAACCAACAAUGCAACUGCCACUGAAUUAUGAUUUCUGUUUGAACUGAAUAAUGUUACGUAGCGAAUCCCGUCUGUAGCCUUACAUAAACCGUGUGUUGACAGAGAAUCUAUUAACACCGAAUACAUUGUAUAUUAUUCAGCGGCAUACUAAAUUACUUCGUGGUGUAAUAAUUUGGUCCAUUUUUGGAAUUGAUUUCUGGUAAAUUAAAAUCUUUUACAGCAUGAAACUAAGCAUGGCGAAAUGUUUUUCAUGCGGAUGAGACACCUACCUAAAUAUAUAUUCGUAUUGAAUAAUCGCAGUUCUUUCACUUUCCAUGAAGAUCGAUAUAAUCAAUCAGUUCAAGUGUAAAAUUGAGAUAUGAUGUGGCAAAACCAAAUUGGGUAUUAAUUUGGGAAUUGCGAUGAGUAUUAAUAUGUAACAAGAUAUAGAAUCUUCAAAGCACUUCCACUAUUCCCUGCAAAAAGAGGUCAACAAAUCUAUCAUGGGUAUGUAACUCCCGAUAUUUGUUACAAUAUCGCUAGUUUAAUUAUUACCCCCUUUGGAUUUUGAUCGUCGCAAUUUUUGUGAGUGACGACGAAUAUUCAUGGAGCGGGGAGUUUUUGGUAUUAGAGGAGAGGCUAGCACCGUAAUUUGAUCUGUGACCGGAACAGAGAACGUAAUCCAGUCCAACGCCGGAUAGCGUGAAGGUUAGAGCGCAAUAUAGGUUUACGAGGAGGUAACGCCCUUUCUAAAAUUGUGGAAUCAUCUAUAAGGGGAUGAAGAUAAAAAAUUUGAACCUUUGAGUGGGAAGGUCCCGCCGGAGCCUUAAGCGGUUAGGGUAAUUUCUCGGGGCUAUUCUCAAACUCGGAAUCAGAGUGAGGAGGAGAAUACUUUAUCUCGAGGAUUUUUAGUUUCCGUGGCCUCCUACUCAUGAAGAAGUGAGUAUAGAGAGGUAAAAAAUUUCACAUACGCCUUAAGAAGGACGAGUAGCUAAUAUGAGAAUAAUUAAGAGCAACCACAUCACAAAAAUCGGGAAAUACAUACAAUUCUCCUGACACGUGAGAUACUGAGGGCAGUAAGUGGUGGCAUCAGUUUUGGCCGUCUGUCUGUCAAAGUUAGUACGUGGACGGGUAUCUACAUUAUAAGCUGGAUAGGUCUGUUGGCAAGGGAAGUGAAAAUAAUUUGUCCGCAACGGAAGUGAAAGUGGAGAAAGUCGAGUUUCAAAUAGCGCGAAAAUUCAAAUUAAAUGUUUAAUUAAAAAAAUAAAUCCCCGGAGAUAACCACCUCCUGACAACCACCCACAGAUAACCACCUCCUGACAACCACCCACAGAUAACCACCUCCUGACAACCACCCACAGAUAACCACCUCCUGACAACCACCCACAGAUAACCACCACCUGACAACCACCCACAGAUAACCACCUCCUGACAACCACCCACAGAUAACCACCUCCUGACAACCACCCACAGAUAACCACCUCCUGACAACCACCCACAGAUAACCACCUCCUGACAACCACCCACACCACCUCCUGACAACGACAACGACCCCCAGGUAACCACCUCCGGACAACCACCCCUGACAACCACCCCUAAAUUACCACCCAGGUAACCACCUCCGGACAACCACCCCUGACAACCACCCCUAAAUUACCACCCAGGUAACCACCUCCGGACAACCACCCCUGACAACCACCCCUAAAUUACCACCCAGGUAACCACCUCCGGACAACCACCCCUGACAACCACCCCUAAAUUACCACCCAAGAUAACCACCACUCAAAACUACCAUAUUGGGUGAGGUCUAUUUGGUUCGAAUUGAUAUAUACUGAUAUGCGAGACAGACCUUCCGUUUGAUUAUUUUAGAUCGCAGAGACAACAUCGAUACUGUGCUGUGCUGUGCGCACAGCACGGAGUCGACGAGUUGUGUGUCCCAUCGGGACCGGCAUUUAUAAUUCCACCCCAACAACUUAUCUGCAGUUGGUUGUCUGAUAGUGGUUAUCUAGGAAUGGUUGUCUGACGAUGGUUCUUUAGGGAUGAUUAUCCUGAUUGUUUAUCUAAUAAUAGUUAUAUUGGUUAUCUUGGCUUGUGUACCUAGAAGUAAAGUUGAAGUCAAAUUCAAGUCACAAGUUUUGCUUCCAUUGCGAAACAGUUAUUUUAACUGCCUUGCCAACAAACAUUUCCAGCUAAUAAUAUAUAUACAAUAAAAAAAAAUUAAUUCGGUGGAAGUGUGAACAAUCCCACUCAAUUUUCAUGAAAAUGAAUUAAUCACUCGCCCGGCGGGAGACGGGCUUAUAAGCUAGUGUCUAAUAUGUGGACGGGAUCUCUUCUGAGUAGGAGAAGGAUUAUUUCUACAACGAGGCAUAGUCAUUUAACGUUCAGCUAAUGUACUUGCUUCAGCUGAGCAAACUUGGCAAACUGUAUAAAUCUAUGCAGCGUACCAAAGAUUAACUCUUGGGGAAAAUUUGUUGAAACAUCUAAAACACUAGGCAGUAUAGGCACAUGGGAUAGAGAAAGAGAGAAGCUCUGCUCACUCACGAGAUACGUAUCUUGUGUUCUUAUCAUUCAGCUUGUUUGACAUUGGAAGACAUUUUUUUCUGAUGCUUUACUAUUAAAUUUGAUUUUCAUCUCUCCACAGUUGUCCAGGUUUCCCAAGAAGCAUGUUUCUUGGACCUAAUAGUAUUCAUUUAUCUACCUAUUUCUCUCUUGUAAUUUAAAAAAAAUUGUACCAGGUGCAGUAGGUCUCCAAUUCCCUAAAAUGAGGUGGUUGGAUUCCAACCGAUACACACACGUGAACCUCAUUGCUGGGUGAACCUGGCAACAUCUUAUCAAGAAAUAAAACCAAAGGCUAAAUCAGCCUUUUUGAAAAUAAAUAUUAUAUUUCGGAAUCAUGUUUCGGAAUUUUUGUAAAUCUUAAUUUAGAAAGUUAGUGGGUCUAAGAUAACUCUUUUAAACCUUAAUACCAAUUUACAUUCCAUUUCCGACUAAAAUUAUUCAGACGUGAAGUAACACAGGCUCUCCUAAAAUUACUAGAGGUAAAAUUGAAUGUGAAAGCAAGACUGAUACGCUUAGUACCUUUUCAUUUAACUCGUCAAGUCCAUGAUGGGCUCCUUCUAAGAAGCUAUCACUCCACAUGUAUUUUAAAAGCGUAUUCCAAAAUAUUAAUACAACCAACUAAACGACAAUGCCUAAAAGUACUAACAAGAGAUUCCAGGCAUCAGGUAUACGAUGUGAAGCCAGUCUGUGGAAGGUUGAGAUACAAUGCUACUACAAUGAUUUAAGUUUUUCUGUCUGAUCGUAUAUCAAUUUAACAAAUCGUUCACCAAGCACAUAAUUGUUUAUUGAGAUAUAAAUAUAAGCUCCACUGUUAAGUCCGUAUUGUAUGUAACUGGUAAUUGAUUCUUCAUACAUAUUUGACGAUAUUUCCAUAAUCCUUCAAUAUCAAUUACAUAUAUAAUACCAACUAUUUGUAAGUGGAUACUUAAUUAAUGACCAGGGUAAGGUCAAAAUAUAAUUAAAAACGAUUUUUUUUAGCCAAGGCAACUCAUUAUUAAACCGAG